rnacentral:lncRNA from 1 species
AUUGGCCUUUAGUUUUAAAUUUAUAAAAGGAUCCCUUAUUUUGGAUCUAACAUUCAUGUAAAUUUUAAAAAGUUUUGAGUAAAAGAUCAAUUGUCGAUGAAGAAAAAUACUUUAAUUAUGAUGAAUCUCUUCAAAUCAGAUUUGUCAAAAAAAUCGAAUGAGAUGAUUUGCCAUCACACAAAUUUAUUUUAGAAAAAAAUUAAAAAAUCUUUUAGUCAAUACCACUUAAAUUUAUCAAUAUUAAAAAUAUUUAUAUUAAAAAAAAGUUUUGCACUUAAUGAAAUGAUUUAAAAUUAUUUCAUUAAGACCACUGUAAAAAAUAAUUUUAUAACAAAUAUUGAACCCAUACAAUUUUUCAUAAGUAAUAAACUUGAGGCAACAAUGGAAUUCUUUCAUUUUUGGAAGAAGUCAAAUUCAAGUCCACACACAUUUUUUUCUUCUUUCUUAAUUUGUCCAUCAAUUUUACAUUAAAUUUGUGUAAUGAUUCGCUUCGAUUAUUAUGAGUAAGUCAAUAGUGAAAGAAUCAAGUUGGAAAUUUUUUUGAUUAGUAAUUUAAAUUUUUUAGGCUAGACUAGUGUUAGACGACAUCUGAGCCAGGUGAGGUGUAGGGAUAUUCAAAAAUGUGUUGAGUGAUAUGACUAGUCUUGGGUUACGUUCCCUAGUCACCAAGACAUUGUGAAUCCAUAAGGCCAUUCAGAAUUAAAUUUGGGUGAGUAAAACUUUUUGUAUCGAAUUUGUCGUGAAGCUCUUGGUUUAGAACGUCAAUAUUCGAAGGUGUACAUGUUGUAAAAUGAGGAUUUGAGGGAUUAUAUAUAUGAGGUUCUGCCUCCGUGCAAGCCGCUAUAGCGGGAUGAAUUAAUUCAUACAUCUGCUAUAGCGUGUUGGGCCGCUAUAGUAGACUUAGUCAAGAUUUUGUGCAGAAAAACCACAAAAAACUCCCAAUUUUCGCAAUUUUAUUCUCAAGACUUGGAAGAGCGAUUUUGGACAACUUCCGUUAGUAAUUCCACCAAAUUCUUCGCAAAGGUAAGUUAAUUACUUCACCAACUUGUUAUUUGAUCCUUAAACUUUAGAAUGUAGGUUAUUCAUUGGAGAACAUUUUUUUAACUCUAAAUUCAAGGGUGAGUCAUUUCCUUCGGGCUGCUAUGAAUUCUUCAUCAUCUUCUUGGUCCAUUUUUCGAACUCAAACAUCGAUCUGGACUUGCAUUUUUCAUUUUUGUUUUCCGGUUUCAUUCCUAUUCUAGACUGUAGAUGUUUUGGUACUAUAACUUUCAGGUUCUAAGGAGUUUAUUUGUGCACUUGAGUUCUUCUAAAAUUUGAAUUUAUGGGAACUCAAUCUUUUAAUCGUUUAAAGACAAUUUUUAUUAGUUUUUUUAUACAAUAACUCAGUUUCAACAUGUGCAUUUUAACAAAUCAAGAAAGGAAAUUAUUGUUUUUACAUAUUAAUUAUACCCUCAAUUAGUUACAAUUUUUAUUAGUUUUUUAUACAAUAACUUAGUUUGAACAUGUCCUAUUUAAACAAAUCAAGAAAGAAAAUUAUUACUUUUACAUAUUAAUUAUACCCUCAAUUAGUUACAAUUUUUAUUAGUUUUUUAUACAAUAACUCAGUUUCAACAUGUCCUAUUUUAACAAAUCAAGAAAAAAAAUUAUUACUUUCACAUAUUAAUUAUACCCUCAAUUAAUUACAAUUUUUAUUAGUUUUUUUAUACAUUAACUCACUCUCAACAUGUCCAUUUAACAAAUCAAUAAAGAGAAUUAUCUUUUUUACAUAUUGUAAUUUUAAUUAAUUACUUUAAAAAAUAUAAAUUAUUUUGAAAAUCUUACACUUUUAAUUCAUACACUUAAAAAUUAAUAAUUAAUAAGAAUAAAAUGAUAAACUCUAAUAAAUGUGACUAUUCAAAAGUAAAACAAAUAAUUAGCGAAAAAUAGAGUAGAUAAUUGUGAGGACAAAGAGGAGACAGACAGCAGUUAAUUCUGUUAAUUUUUUUUUCUUAAAAAAAAUGAUUACUCAAAAGAGAGACAAAAGUGAUUAGACAUGUUGAAAUCAACCUCUAAAUCGAAUCUUUUGAUAAUUACGUUUCUAUAAUAAAUAAAAAAAUAAAAAAUAAAAAGAAGCUUAGAAAAUGACAAUUUGAUGGGACCAAAGAAAUAGCCCUUUAGAAGACUUGUGUCAAGAUCCUAAUGGAUAAAUUUUAUUUAUAGUUAGAAUCUCACACAAGGAAUUUAGAACAUAGAAGAUAAAUUUAAAUUUCCACAAAAUAGAUAAUUAUUAAAUAAAUAAAAGAAAGUUCAAGAUAUUUCAUACAAAAAUCAAUAAAGUACUCUCUUCUCCGUUUACUUUUACUUGUCGCUUAUUCUUAAAUUCUAAAAAAUAUUUAAUAUUGUUUUACCCUCGUUAUUAAAUAUGUAUUCUCUAAAUCAUUUUCCAAUACUAAUAUUAAAUAUAAUAUAAUAGGGAUAGUUUGAUAAAAUACCUAUAUUAAUAAUUAUUCUUUUAAUAAGUGUAACGUGUCAAGUCAAAACAUUGACAAUGUGAAAUUAAACGGAGGAAGUACUAGAUUUAAAUUGGAGAAAAAAAAAUCUAGUAAGUUCAUAUAGUAAAUGAUUAGUUUUUGUGAUCUUUAACGAAGGUGGAUUACUUAUGAUUAAUAUUUUUCUAGGCUGAUAAAAUUUUGAAGAUGAGGUGCAUGUGAUAUAUAAAUUUUAAAUUCUAACUCGAACAGGGCUGUAGGGUUGUGUGCACUGGCGGAGCCACCUUAAAAUUAGGGGGUUCAUUCGAACCUUAAUCCGCGGAAAAUUAUAUUAUAUUUACAUGGUUAAAAUAACUUUUUUAUGUAUGUAUAGUAGAUGUCGAAUCUCUUUCGACUACUUCGUAUGUGUAUUUCUUCAUAUUUUAAACUCUUAUCGAAAAUUCUGAAUCCGCCAUUGAUUGCGUGGGUUGGGGGCCGGGUGGGGGUUGUUGUUUGAGAAUGAUGUUGUCCCUUCACAUAUCUAUCCCAUGAAUGUCUCCAUGUAUAUAGAAUUGCCCUUAGCUUAUGGAAGUGAACAAAGUGAAAAUAUAUAGACACAUCAGGAAAUAUAUAUAAUGACCCAUAAAUUAUUGUUUGUUGUUUUAUUUGCUAAAAGAUGUAUAGAUGAUAAGAAUAUGAAGUCCUUACUCAAUUCACCAACAAGGAAAAUGUUUUUUUUCCCGAUAUUUGUAUUAGUGUUAGACUGUCAAAUACAUAUAUACAUUACGUAAUUCAUUUUGUGGACAUUGCCUUUUGCAUUAUUUUUUUUCUUAAAAAUUCUGAUUCGAAAUCUUUAAUAAAGAACGACAAAGGAAAACAUAAUUUUUUAUUAUUAUCAUGAGUAUUAAGGUUUUAUUAUUCCUCCCAAAAUUCACAAUAAUUGGUUUUAUUCCUUCCAAUUGGUUUGAAUGUUAAGAUAAUCAAAGUUGUGGUAAACACUUGUGAUUGGGGAGAAUAAUCUAUACGUCAUUCACUUAUAUAAUUAAAUUAUUGCAUGUUACAUCAUUACAUUCUUAUCGACUAAUUAAUUAAUUAAUUAAUACGUUAGACACAAAAUUUGAUUUUGCAUUGAUUUUUAUUCGUUUAUAUAUAGUGACAAUCAUUAAAGAAAUAAUAUAUUGAUGUUUGGAUAGACCCAAAAAAAGUCAUAUACAUUAAAGUAUUUUUUAUAUUUAGAAUUUUGAAAAUAUCAAGACAUUUAGUUUUAAUUGAAGAAGUAUAUAACACAAUAAUAACAAUUUUUUCAAAAAAAAUACUUAUACGAAAUGUUUACAUCAAAUUAAAAUAAUUUAUCAUAGUUAAAUGAUAAAACUAAGUCGAGAAAAUAAUUAAGACAUUACGAUUGGUUGAUCAUGAUAUUACUAGAACAAAUAAUCCCGAUAUAAAAUAUCACAUGAGAUAAUCCAAUGUUUUGUAUGGUUGAUUGCAUGUGAAAAAAUAAUCGUUGCAUAACUAAUAAUAUAAUGUGUGAUUGACAAUAUAUGAGAAUUAUUCAAAAAAAAUUGCAUACUAUUUUAUGAGAGUUUGAUUUGUGAAAUAAUAAUAAUAAUAUGUUUAGCAUUAAUAUGGCAACUAAUAACCACAUGAUAAUAAUCUCUUCAUUAUUAAUCUCGGUAUUAGGAGGCGAUUUCUACAUUAUAAUUUACGUUUAAUUAAUUAGCCUAUAUAAAUUAUGUCUAAUCAAUUCUAUGAUUAGGUUGUCUUGAAUAAGAAGAUACAUGUAUAAUAUAAAAAAUUAUAGAACAUAAUAUAAUUAAGUAAAGGGGGAUUAGAUUAAUUAAAGAAUCUAAUAAUUGAGUUAUGUUUAAAAACAUGCAUGUGGGAUAUAUAUAAAAAAAAAAAUGAUUAGUAGGUUGUACGUAACAAUUAAUUGCCAUGCAACGUACAAGAGAAAAACAAACACAUAAAGACAACAAGAGGAAACUAGUAUAUUGUGUGGGGUAUUUUUUUGGUGGGUUAUUGUGGGGGUGGGGUGGGGGGUACUUCUAAAAAAGAUAUUUUUUCAUUGAAAUUUCUCACUUAAAAAUGUUUGCUGGCGAUGCCCACAAAUAUUACGAUUCAAUCAGUGAGAAUAGAACAAAUAUAUAGUAAUAUUUUUAUAUGAACAGAAAAUUAGGAAGCUUUCUAUUAUUUUAGUGUAAAUUUAUUUUUUACUAUGUGUUUUCUUAGUGAGAUGAUUUAAUGGAAAAGUGAGUGAGUUAUAAUAUAAUGACCCGGAAGAUCAUUUUUAAAACAUUUUACCCCUCUCGAUAGUUUUCUCAACUCAUUUAUGAUAAGUGUGAGAAUUUGGUAUUUUUUAAAAUCCGAUGUCCCCGAAGGGAAUGGGAAGUUGGUAUUGAAGUUUGAGUAUAAAAUUGUAAUUUUUGGAAGUUUUGUGUUUUAAAAGGCUUAAAUUGUUUUAAAGUGUUUUCUUUAGUAACAAUAGAAGUUUUGAGUCUCAAAAUGAAAUUUCAACAGUUCCACAAGCCCCAGAAUGUGGAAUUUGAUAUAGGAGAGUCAUCAGUUUCAUAUUCAAUUUUUUUUUUUUGAAUUUGAGGUCUUAAAUUGAAGGUUGAUGUAAUUUAGUCAUUUGGUUGAUUUGGCCACAUUUAGAAUUUGGAUAUUUAGAUCAAUUCUAUAUUAUGAUAAAAGGGUGAUAAAAUAAAGGCAACUUAAUGAUAUAUUGACGUGGGAUAUGUGCGGAUAACUUGAAUUUUUGUAUUGAUUUGUUAUUGGUGUUGUAACACGACUAUGUUGAUGUAGAUUGUGUGUUGAUAUGCAAAGCAUCAUAUUCUCAUGAAUUGUGUGAACAUGCCUAUUUGCAGUGGUUUCAAAACACUAUGGUGAGAUCUUUGAGAUAAAAUAACGAUGGAAAAUGAUUUCGGCAAGUUGUAUAUCGAGGGGUCAUACCACACACUUCAUAGCAUGUUCUAUAUUGAGGGUCGAGCCACACACUCGUGGAAGGUUCUAUUAAGGGGUUGGGUUACACGGUCUAUAGCAGAUGCAUGAACUGAUAAGUCCCCCAUAAAUUCUGUAUGAGUCUCAGUGAAUUAAUAUGUAUCACGGGACAAACAUGAAUCAUUUUUCAUGACAUUUCAUUGCAUAUCAUUUUUAGCUGUGAACUUGUGUUGUGAAACUUGUGAUUGAUGGAUGCAGUAUUUUGUGUUGAUGACCUAUAUUCGUUGAAGUGUUGUUAUAAUGCUACUUGCUAUAUGAAUUGCGAACAGUUAGAUUGGACUAAUUUCAUUGCAGAUUGUAGUUUGUGGAGGUUCAGAUGGGUUGUUAUGAGUGUUCGUAUUCUAUUCUAUUUUGCAUGGUGUUUGUUGGUUUGCUUGAUGAGUUUUCGUGUUAUUUGAUACUCAUUCAUUUCUUCUACACUUGUGCAGAUUUUGAACUCGAAUCUUCGUGAUUUAUCUUUUUCCUAUACUUCGCAUGAGGCUUUUCUAUGGAGACUUGAACGGUAGCUCAACGACCCUCUUGCUGAUCCUUUGCUAUGUUCUUGUUCUACUCUAUAAACAAAGACAUUGAGAUUAUUUGUAUUUCAUUUUAAUUAGUUGUAAUACAAAAGAGGCUUGUACACAUGUGACAAUCAUGUUUUUGGGGUAUCAUUGAGAUUGACUAAAUUAUCUGGAUUUA